CGGAUUGGCAAAUUAUUGUAUUGGGCCGAGCUGGAUUUGAACCAGCGUAGACAUAUUGCCAACGAAUUUACAGUCCGUCCCCAUUAACC
rnacentral:tRNA from 1 species